GUGGGCAUGUGGAGGACGUCGUUUGUAUAACAGCAGCGAAAGCUUCUCGUUUUUGUUUUCUGUAGCUUUUUGGCCAAAUUGGACAGAAGAGGAAGCGGCUCGUCAAAUACGGACAGUCAGCCACGCAGCACCGUUGGCACUGAACACUCUCCACCGGCGGCACCACACGCGCCACAUGGCACAUCAUUUCAGCACCACGAACAGCUCCGCUGGCGGACUGAAGAGUAAUGCAUUAUUGAAAGCCUAUAUCAAACAGCUCUGGGGUGCUGUCUCUCUGCACAAGGGUCUGUGGAUGAAGUCGGACUGUCUGCCUUCACAAUAGCCUCUAAUAUGUUAAUGGCCGUAGGGGAUGCCUGAGGUACCGUCCCCAGCUGCCUCGCCUACCAUAUGUCAAGCCGUUACGACAGAGCCCUCUAUUAAUCAGUUGGGGAUAUUUCAUCGAUGGCCUCGACGAUAUCAUAACCCUUAAAGCUCCAUCAAUACUGCACCUCGCAUCGUCACCUGAUCUCAGAUCUCGGCCUUACUGUCCUCUAUUUCCCCUUCCAUUUCAGUGGAAGGCCCAAGCUUGCCGUCUUCCAGCGCCGCAGGGCAUGGAGCUAGCCAGCGGUGAGUUUCCAUCAAUUAGUGCACCCCCGCGGCCUCAUGGCAGAGCCCACCUUUGACUGCGGUGAGAUAUUGAUUAGUUCAGCUGCACUGUCAGGUCUGGAGUGUGCAGGCCCUGGUGAUCCAAGGCCUUCGCCAGAGACAAGAUCAUGUCAGGUUUCUGACACAUGUAGGCUCUCACAUACACACCCGUGUGCACACGCAUGGAGGUUAGCAUGUGUACACAUGCAGGUGCGCGCAGACGUGCGCGUCAACACAUGGACACAUACAAAUGCAAUGAAACAUGCUCUCUCAGAUGACUGCAAGGUGUGAGAGAGGGAAGAUAAGAGGAGAAGUCCAUAAGAGUUGCUUGUCAGGAGUGAUGGGUGAGAACUGACAAGUGCUUGUUUUUUUUUUUUUUUUUUUUUUUCCCUCCCUCUGCCCGGUAGAGUUGGUGUGAAAACAACAAGCUGCAGAGCCUCCGCACUCGCUCAACUAAGAGACACAACAAAAAUGAGUGAACAUCAGGAACCGGAUGUGAAUCCGUGAGAUUGGACUUCAUAUAGUGACUCAGAGCAAAAAGCCGUUGUCUGCGUUGUUGCUCUGAAAAACAGGAUGGAUGUUUGGACUGUUGUGGGCAGCUGUACCUUGGGAGUCUGCUGUCUUCUUCUGAUGUCAUGGAUGCAGAAAAGAUCAGACAAUAAGCUAAAUAAAGACGCUCUAUUAAACCAGCAAUUACCUCGCAAGGCUGAAAUGAUUUAUUGCAUCUUAUUGAAGGUAAGAGCUCUGUGAGUGCCUCAUAACUAGAUUAUAAAUUUUAGUUUCCCCGAUGACAUAGCAGCAAACUGAAACACCACUUUUCUUCUUGUAAACUUUAUAAGAACAGCUAUUCGUCGUCCAGUAGAUGCGGUUGUAACACGGACUUCAUCAGUCUGAGAGAAAACAACAAUACAAUA